rnacentral:rRNA from 1 species
AGAGUUUGAUCCUGGCUCAGGACGAACGCUGGCGGCGUGCCUAACACAUGCAAGUCGAACGGAGUUAAGACGAAGCUUGCUUUGGCUUAACUUAGUGGCGGACGGGUGAGUAACGCGUGAGCAACCUGCCUUUCAGAGGGGAAUAACACAGUGAAAACUGUACUAAUACCGCAUAAAGUGACAGUCUCGCAUGGGACAGUUACCAAAGGAGUAAUCCGCUGAAAGAUGGGCUCGCGUCCGAUUAGAUAGUUGGUGAGGUAACGGCUCACCAAGUCUGCGAUCGGUAGCCGGACUGAGAGGUUGAACGGCCACAUUGGGACUGAGAUACGGCCCAGACUCCUACGGGAGGCAGCAGUGAGGGAUAUUAGGCAAUGGGGGAAACCCUGACCUAGCAACGCCGCGUGAAGGAUGAAGGUUUUCGGAUUGUAAACUUCUUUGACGAGGGACGAUAGUGACGGUACCUCGAAAACAAGCCACGGCUAACUACGUGCCAGCAGCCGCGGUAAUACGUAGGUGGCAAGCGUUGUCCGGAUUUACUGGGUGUAAAGGGCGUGUAGGCGGAUUGGCAAGUCAGAUGUGAAAUGCAGAGGCUUAACCUCUGAGCUGCAUUUGAAACUGCCGAUCUUGAGUGAUGGAGAGGUAAGCGGAAUUCCCGGUGUAGCGGUAAAAUGCGUAGAUAUCGGGAGGAACACCAGUGGCGAAGGCGGCCUACUGGGCACCAACUGACGCUGAGGCUCGAAAGUGUGGGUAGCAAACAGGAUUAGAUACCCUGGUAGUCCACACUGUAAACGAUGAUCACUAGGUGUUGGAGGAUUGACCCCUUCAGUGCCGCAGUUAACACAAU